rnacentral:rRNA from 1 species
UACGAAGGGGGCUAGCGUUGCUCGGAAUCACUGGGCGUAAAGCGCACGUAGGCGGAUUCCUAAGUCGGGGGUGAAAUCCUGGAGCUCAACUCCAGAACUGCCUUCGAUACUGGGAAUCUUGAGUCCGGAAGAGGUGAGUGGAACUGCGAGUGUAGAGGUGAAAUUCGUAGAUAUUCGGAAGAACACCAGUGGCGAAGGCGACUCACUGGACACAUAUUGACGCUGAGGUGCGAAAGCGUGGGGAGCAAACAGG